AUUCUUAUUGCCCAGCUUGCUGAAUGUUGACAUUUGCAAGAUAUUAUGUGGUUGUCGUUGUUGCUUCGACAUUGACGUCCCCUUCCUCAUGGGGUUCUGACGACGUCACCAGUGUCCCCUCGUCAUCGACAGCGGUUUAGUAUUGCAUUUCUGCUGGUGCACCAACUACUGAGCGCCGAUGGAGACGGCAGAGGAGGACGUGGAGGAGUACAGCUAGAGGGUGGUGGUGCUGCUGCGCCUCAUCCCGGUGGUGCCCCAUGCCGCGCCGGAGCUCGAGCGCGAGACCAGGGAGCGGCGCCGCAGCAGGGACCUCCUCAUUGCCGUCGACUUCGGCCCAAACGGCAGAAACGCCUUCUGCUGGGCGCUAGCGCACCUCUCGCGUCUCACCGACACCCCCACCUCGUCUACGCCGUUUCCAAUACAACGAAUGGAUCGACGAGUGCGAGCGCCUCAACACUAUCAACAUGACGAUGGUGGAUCGACUUGCAAAUGAAAUGGUUACUAUUUAUGACUGUAAUGCGUUGGUGUUACGCCUGGCACCUUCAACCACUGUGGGAUCUGUCAUGGCCAGGUAUGCCCAUCUCCCUCACCCUCCUCUGGAUCCCCUGCCCUACUUUGUAUUAUUGUUCUUCUGAUAUACUGUCAAAUUUCCAUGGAUGGGAUCUCAUGAAUGAGUAUCCCGUGUCUGCGGCAACUCGCAUGGCCUGAUCCGGAAGUACGGGUGUGCUGCAGGGAUUGCUUCCGCAGCAACGCCAAGGACAUUGGCUUCAUCAAGGUUUGGGUAAAUUAUUCUUCACAUGCACAGCUUGCCAUAAAUGAAUUGACGGUGCGCUCCUCUUGCUUGUUGCUAGGUAUGUCUAAUUCUGGAGUUAACAAAUCAACUUGAUGUGAUGAUAAUGUAUGUUUGCUUUUCUCGUGUUCAAGAAAGUGGCUUGGCAACCGCCAAACUCGUACCCUGAGUUUUUAGGUUAUCAGUUGACUGAUCUUAAUGUGAGUGCUAUCUUAGUUAUUGAAGUUCUUUCCUGAUGUACAUGAAUGACACUUUCUGGUUUGGCAAUGAAUAAUGUGUUGGUCUCUUGAUAAGAGGUGUAUGAGGUUUAAAAAAUACCAAAAAAAUGUUUGAUUAGUGCUAUUGUUUGCAGCUAUCGGUAAAGUUGUGAUAUAUCUUUAACCAUUGUCGCUUGUCUACAUUGUCAGCGCGUUAUCAACUACGGAAACUUGAUUAGUGCGCCCAAUAACACCUCAAGAGGUGCCACCAGGUGGCGCCCCAAUAACUAGUUAUGAUGAUUGGACUUCUCCUAAACCACCGCCUAACCCCACUCCGAAGAAGAGGGGUAUAUUACAUCUCAGUCCUGAAGAUAUGCAAGAGGCAAAGAAAUCUAUGAAGGAAAA